rnacentral:rRNA from 1 species
GUAGUCUCGCACAGAUGCAUAUCAAUAAGCGGAGGAAAAGAAACUAACAAGGAUUCCCCUAGUAACGGCGAGUGAAGCGGGAAGAGCUCAAAUUUGAAAUCUUAAAGGGUUUCCCUUUACGAAUUGUAGUUUAAAGAAGUGUUUUCUGUUGAGGUUUUGGUAAAAGUUCUUUGGAAUAGGACAUCAUAGAGGGUGAGAAUCCCGUAUUUGACCUUUACUUUCAACUUUGUGAUACACUUUCAAAGAGUCGGAUUGUUUGGGAAUGCAGUCCAAAAUGGGUGGUAAAUUUCAUCUAAAGCUAAAUAUUGGCGAGAGACCGAUAGCGAACAAGUACCGUGAGGGAAAGAUGAAAAGAACUUUGAAAAGAGAGUUAAACAGUACGUGAAAUUGUCAAAAGGGAAGCGUUUGACACCAGUGUUGUUUUUCUGAAAAUCAAUUAAAGAACUGUUUAUGCUAAGUUGUUUAGACUUUAUCAGCUACUUGUUUAGUUUUGAGCUUUUCUUUAAUGCACUUUUCAGUUAACAAGUCAACAUCAAUUUCUUUUGCUGUAAAAAAGCUUGAGGAAGGUGGCUUGAGAUUCGUCUUAAGUGUUUAUAGCCUCUUGCCUAUGCAGUCGGAGAGAUUGAGGUCUGCAGCGUAGAUCCUUCGGGGCUAAAUGCAUUUGUGCUAAGUUAUAGCAUUUUAUAGACAACUUGUUGACUAUGAUUUGUCUUGUAGCUUACUCGCUUAUGUUAUUUUACCUACGCUUAGGAUGUUGACAGCAGUAUAGACUGU